rnacentral:rRNA from 1 species
CAGGGGCUCCCCUUUUGGGGAGCACCGGCGAACGGCUCAGUAACACGUGGCUAACCUACCCUCGGGUGGGGGAUAACCUCGGGAAACUGAGGCUAAUCCCCCAUAGGGGAGGAGGUCUGGAAUGAUCCCUCCCCGAAAGCCCGUAAGGGCGCCCGAGGAUGGGGCUGCGGCGGAUUAGGUAGUUGGUGGGGUAACGGCCCACCGAGCCUACGAUCCGUACGGGCCCUGAGAGGGGGAGCCCGGAGAUGGACACUGAGACACGGGUCCAGGCCCUACGGGGCGCAGCAGGCGCGAAACCUCCGCAAUGCGCGAAAGCGCGACGGGGGGACCCCGAGUGCCCUCCCUCUGGGAGGGCUUUUCCGGAGUGUAAACAGCUCCGGGAAUAAGGGCUGGGCAAGUCCGGUGCCAGCAGCCGCGGUAAUACCGGCGGCCCAAGUGGUGGCCACUGUUAUUGGGCCUAAAGCGUCCGUAGCCGGCCCGGUAAGUCCCUGCUUAAAUCCCGCGGCUUAACCGCGGGGCUGGCAGGGAUACUGCCGGGCUAGGGACCGGGAGAGGCCGGGGGUACCCCAGGGGUAGCGGUGAAAUGCGUUGAUCCCUGGGGGACCACCUGUGGCGAAGGCGCCCGGCUG